CGAGUGAAGCGGCAAGAGCUCAAAUUUGAAAGCUGGCUCCUUCGGGGUCCGCAUUGUAAUUUGCAGAGGAUGCUUCGGGUGCGGCCCCUGUCUAAGUGCCCUGGAACGGGCCGUCAGAGAGGGUGAGAAUCCCGUCUGGGAUGGGGUGUCCGCGCCCGUGUGAAGCUCCUUCGACGAGUCGAGUUGUUUGGGAAUGCAGCUCUAAAUGGGUGGUAAAUUUCAUCUAAAGCUAAAUACUGGCCGGAGACCGAUAGCGCACAAGUAGAGUGAUCGAAAGAUGAAAAGCACUUUGAAAAGAGAGUUAAAAAGCACGUGAAAUUGUUGAAAGGGAAGCGCUUGCGACCAGACUCGCCUCCAGGGUUCAGCCGGCAUUCGUGCCGGUGUACUUCCCUGGGGGCGGGCCAGCGUCGGUUUGGGCGGCCGGUCAAAGGCUCCCGGAAUGUAGUGCCCUCCGGGGCACCUUAUAGCCCGGGAGUGCAAUGCGGCCAGCCUGGACCGAGGAACGCGCUUCGGCACGGACGCUGGCAUAAUGGUCGUAAACGACCCGUCUUGUA
rnacentral:rRNA from 1 species